CGGGAGGCAGCAGUAGGGAAUCUUCCGCAAUGGACGAAAGUCUGACGGAGCAACGCCGCGUGAGUGAUGAAGGUUUUCGGAUCGUAAAGCUCUGUUGUUAGGGAAGAACAAGUGCGAGAGUAACUGCUCGCACCUUGACGGUACCUAACCAGAAAGCCACGGCUAACUACGUGCCAGCAGCCGCGGUAAUACGUAGGUGGCAAGCGUUGUCCGGAAUUAUUGGGCGUAAAGGGCUCGCAGGCGGUUUCUUAAGUCUGAUGUGAAAGCCCCCGGCUCAACCGGGGAGGGUCAUUGGAAACUGGGAAACUUGAGUGCAGAAGAGGAGAGUGGAAUUCCACGUGUAGCGGUGAAAUGCGUAGAGAUGUGGAGGAACACCAGUGGCGAAGGCGACUCUCUGGUCUGUAACUGACGCUGAGGAGCGAAAGCGUGGGGAGCGAACAGGAUUAGAUACCCUGGUAGUCCACGCCGUAAACGAUGAGUGCUAAGUGUUAGGGGGUUUCC
rnacentral:rRNA from 1 species